UACGUAGGGUGCGAGCGUUAAUCGGAAUUACUGGGCGUAAAGCGUGCGCAGGCGGUUGGUUAAGUCUGAUGUGAAAGCCCCGGGCUCAACCUGGGAAUGGCAUUGGAAACUGGCUAGCUGGAGUGUGGCAGAGGGGGUGGAAUUCCGCGUGUAGCAGUGAAAUGCGUAGAUAUCAGGAGGAAUACCGAUGGCGAAGGCAGGUCUCUGGGCUGACACUGACGCUCAUGCACGAAAGCGUGGGGAGCAAACGGG
rnacentral:rRNA from 1 species